UUAUGAUUACAGCUCCCAAGCAAACAUCUAAUUACAAGGCUACGAUAAGACGAUAUUUCUGAAUAUUGAGCAGAACAAUACAGACCGUAAG